rnacentral:rRNA from 1 species
GACGAACGCUGGCGGCGUGCUUAACACAUGCAAGUCGAGCGGUGAAGCGCCUUCCUUUUUGGUGGGUGUGGAUGAGUGGCGAACGGGUGAGUAACACGUGAGUAACCUGCCCUCUUCUUCUGGAUAACCGCAUGAAAGUGUGGCUAAUACGGGAUAUUCUGGGUCUGUCGCAUGAUGGGUCUGUGAAAGAUUUUGUUUCGGUGGGGGAUGGGCUCGCGGCCUAUCAGCUUGUUGGUGGGGUGAUGGCCUACCAAGGCGGUGACGGGUAGCCGGCCUGAGAGGGUGGACGGUCACACAGGGACUGAGACGCGGAGAAGACUACUACGGGAGGCAGCAGUGAGGAAUAUUGCACAAUGGGCGGAAGGAUGAUGCAGCGCCGCGGCGUGAGAGAUGGAGGCCUGCGGGUUGUGAACCUCUUUCGCCAGUGAAGCAGGCCUGCCUCGUUUGUGGGUGGGUUGACGGUAGCUGGAGAAGAAGCGCCGGCUAACUACGUG